AUUGAACGCUGGCGGCAUGCCUUACACAUGCAAGUCGAACGGUAACAGGUCUUCGGAUGCUGACGAGUGGCGAACGGGUGAGUAAUACAUCGGAACGUGCCCGAUCGUGGGGGAUAACGGAGCGAAAGCUUUGCUAAUACCGCAUACGAUCUACGGAUGAAAGCAGGGGACCGCAAGGCCUUGCGCGGACGGAGCGGCCGAUGGCAGAUUCGGUAGUUGGUGGGAUAAAAGCUUACCAAGCCGACGAUCUGUAGCUGGUCUGAGGGGACGACCAGCCACACUGGGACUGAGACACGGCCCAGACUCCUACGGGAGGCAGCAGUGGGGAAUUUUGGACAAUGGGCGAAAGCCUGAUUCAGCCAUGCCGCGUGCAGGAUGAAGGCCUUCGGGUUGUAAACUGCUUUUGUACGGAACGAAAAGCCUCUUUCUAAUAAAGAGAGGUCAUGACGGUACCGUAAGAAUAAGCACCGGCUAACUACGUGCCAGCAGCCGCAGUAAGAC
rnacentral:rRNA from 1 species